rnacentral:lncRNA from 1 species
AGGCGGCAGGGCCCGCGGGGCGCCCCCAGCCCCGCACACGCCUCCCGGGAGCCCGGGAAGGCGCAGCCCCGGGGGGCCCCCUGCACCCCCGGAGGAGGCAGCGGCGAGCCAGUCCUGCCCAGAUCUGACUUACUCCGAAGCCGGCACGCUUAACUCCUGCCAUCCGUGUAUCACACAGCUGGUCCAGAUUGGUUUUCCAGUUCAUCGGCUUGAUCUCCGGUCGCUUCAGAGAAUAAUCAUGUGAAAUAGGAGUUAACCAUCCUCAUUUUCUAAAUAACAUCAUAACCAUCACCCUAUACUGAGUGUUUUAUAAGAGCUAAGCCCUCCACACGGAUGAAGUCAUUUUUGUUGCACAAGCAACACAGAAGGGAGGCAGUGUUACUGUGUCUGGCUUUGCCACGAGGAAACAAGCUGAGAGAGAGGAAUGGACUUGUCCAAGCCCACACACCCAGCGUGUGAGGAGCCUGGAUCUUCCAUCUCAGAGACAAACCUGCCCGGGAGUUCAGAGGAUGAAACACGGAACGCGUGUGUAAAGACCGGAGGGUGGAAACACUCCGUUUUGAUAAAAGGAGAUCUGCUCAGCAUGGAAUCCUCCAUCCCGCUCGUCGGGAGAUGCAAAGAUUUAUCCAGAGAGGGGCUGAUGAAUUGAGGAUACAGAAAUGAGGCCAAUGUGAGUUGCCUUUCAAGAGCUGUGCUAAUAUAAAACCAAGCAACUUGAAUUUGUUCCAAGAGGGGAUUAAAGCAACAUGUUAUUUUGAGUGAUUGCUUAAUUUAUUGAGCUGUGGCUAGAUCUGUAAUGAAAUACAGCCCUUGCAACUGAUAACCUCCUGCUACAAUUGAACUUGUACAAUUAAGGACUAUUUUCUGAGAGUUUCUCUGGAAGAGCUGAGCAUUUUUAGUGUCUGGGGUGGGGUGCUUCUGAGCACUCAUUUUUCCAGACCAGCUUUUGUUUUUUUCUUUGCAGAGUGACAGGCUGAUGUUAAUAAGGAAAAUAAACAGCAUUUUAU